rnacentral:ncRNA from 1 species
UAGAACUUGUAUCUCAAAUAGUCAAAUGAGGGAGUAACGACCCGAAGGGCUAUCUCUAAGAACUCCGAAUGGCACAAAUUCUAUGAAGAGAAAAUGUGUCAUAAGCUCGGUAAAGUCGUCUGAAUGCUAUCGAAACAGGUUAAGCUGUCGAAAGCGGGCCAGAGGUGGAACGCGUAGCAGAUAGGGCGGGAGUCCGGUGC